GCGAAAUUAAUUUAAAUUUAAUUAAUUUUUUUAAAGAUGGCAGUACUUAACAAAUAUAAAAAAAUUUGGAUAUUUCCUAUGCAUUACCUAAAAUGAUUAAAUUAGUACCUACAACAUACAUCAAAGAGGGAGAUAAAUUCCAAUUAAACUCAUGACAAACAACUUGAGUAUACGUGUUCAUUUAGGCCGUCAAGUUAGGCAGAUAAGCAACUGAAAACCACAGUUUCACUGAUCCCACCACCCACCAACAACUCGUUGCCGUCAAACCGAAAUGCCGGUGGCAGCUUCGACUUGUUCUCCAUUUUCUUACUCGCCUCCGUCUCCGCCACCAUAUUUGGUGUCCGUUUCCCAGCAAGGGCGGCAGCUUUUUUCUCCAUUCUUCGUCGAAUGACAUACUCUUCGGGAAUAAACACAUCCAUUUCAAAUAAUUAUACUUGAUAUUAUUAAUUCCCGAAAAAUAAUAUAUGAAGGAAAGGAAGGUGACAAGAAAGAAACUUUGAAGAAAUGGAAGCGUGACGAGUUUAAACGCAGGACAAAUAUUGGUACCGUUUGAAAUAUACCAUACUUAUAGGAGAAAAGAUUAAGGGGAAACCAUGGGCGUUGGUCCCAUGUUUUUAGUUUAAACAAGCUACCUUUUUCCUUUUGAUUUUUGUUUUCCUGCUUCUGAGCCUUUCAAAGCGCAGUGGUUUUCAAAAAGC
rnacentral:lncRNA from 1 species